rnacentral:lncRNA from 1 species
GGCGGCGGCGGGGGGGGCGGCGGAGGCGGCCCCCAGCCCCAGCAGGUGGGGAGUGUUCAGUAAGGCCAGCGGGUGCGGGGGGUGGUGGUGGUGGUGGUGGGCCGGGAAUGCGCGGUUGGUCCAGUUGGGGAACUUGCCCAGGGGGCAGGAGGAGACGAGUCUGUGGGGUGGCGGGGUGGGCAGCGGCAGCGGCUGGGGGGCGGCCGCCGGCGGAGAGCCGCCGCCAGGAGACUUGCGGGGGUUGUCCGGGCUGGUGGCCGUCUCGGCCAGCGACCAGAUCUUGGGUUUCGGCAAAGCGCCGGCCAAAGCGCCGUCCGUCGGGGAGGAUGCGGUGGAGGAAGAGGCAGAGGAAGGGGGAGAGAGAGAUCCGGGUUUGGCUGAGGUUUAACCACUGGUGCAGAAGGUUGCAGGUACAUUGGCAGAUCUCAAGAGCAAGAGAUUUACUGCAUGAUGCCGGCCACACCUUGAGCUGCUGCUCAGGGCAACAAAGGCAACAAGAUCUGGGAUUGGAGCUGAUGGAAAAGACUGUAAAACUUUCUAUUUUCCAUUUAAAUUUAUUUUUCACAGAUGUCUAUAAUACCAGAUUGUUUUCUUCAGCAUUUAAGGCGUUCGGAGCAGCACGAAGAGAGGCACGGAGCCAG